GUGCCAGCAGCCGCGGUAAUACAGAGGGUGCGAGCGUUGUCCGGAAUCACUGGGCGUAAAGGGCGCGUAGGCGGCUUGGUAAGUAGGGGGUGAAAUCUCAUGGCUCAACUGUGAGGCUGCCUUCUAGACUGCUGAGCUGGAGCACAGUAGAGGCGAGUGGAAUUCCCGGUGUAGCGGUGGAAUGCGUAGAGAUCGGGAAGAACAUCGGUGGCGAAGGCGGCUCGCUGGGCUGUUGCUGACGCUGAGGCGCGAAAGCGUGGGGAGCAAACAGGAUUAGAUACCCGCGUAGUCC
rnacentral:rRNA from 1 species